CUGCCAGACUCCUACGGGAGGCAGCAGUGGGGAAUAUUGCACAAUGGGCGCAAGCCUGAUGCAGCCAUGCCGCGUGUAUGAAGAAGGCCUUCGGGUUGUAAAGUACUUUCAGCGGGGAGGAAGGGGUUAAGGUUAAUAACCUUAGCCAUUGACGUUACCCGCAGAAGAAGCACCGGCUAACUCCGUGCCAGCAGCCGCGGUAAUACGGAGGGUGCAAGCGUUAAUCGGAAUUACUGGGCGUAAAGCGCACGCAGGCGGUCUGUCAAGUCGGAUGUGAAAUCCCCGGGCUCAACCUGGGAACUGCAUUCGAAACUGGCAGGCUGGAGUCUUGUAGAGGGGGGUAGAAUUCCAGGUGUAGCGGUGAAAUGCGUAGAGAUCUGGAGGAAUACCGGUGGCGAAGGCGGCCCCCUGGACAAAGACUGACGCUCAGGUGCGAAAGCGUGGGGAGCAAACAGGAUUAGAUACCCCCGUAAUA
rnacentral:rRNA from 1 species